UCUCGAUAGCGUUAAAGUUAACUCAAAUUUUUAUGGAGUUGGAACGUUUGCCUAUGUUUGCCGCUAGGGGUGUUCCUACAACUGCAUACAAAUUUAAGUUAACUUUUACGCUAUCGA
rnacentral:pre_miRNA from 9 species